GGAGGCAAUGCAGCACCUGCCCGGAAGAGCCCGAGCGUUCCCGGCAGCGAGAACGUGCCUCUGCGGGUUGCCGCGCAGCCGGGCUCUGCGCUGGCUUGGGCUCGUCCACCACAAUGAAUUAAAAUCUGUGGACUGAAUCUGUGGAAGGAGGAGGCCUCAUAGAAGAACUGAGAAGUGCACAGAUUGCAAGUUUGGACGCUGGGCUGAACCCUCCCCAAACGACUCGGGCCUGCCCAACUCAGCCGCGCUCGCAGCAGCCAGCUUUUCACGAGGGACCGUUCUGGUUCCUUCCUACUUCCAGCCGCAGGUGACUCAGCCUUGGCCAGAAGCAGGGGAUUCGGAGCUACUAACGCAAGUCUUGCUUCGUCCCUGCGUCCACCCUGCAUCCGCCUGCAUCCGGGGGGGGCCCCUGGAGCAGGUGCCGCUUUGCGGGCAAAGGUGACCAACACCAU